CACGAAAGCAGUCAGCAGCAAUCCGAAGCGUGACGGCUCAUUCUCGUCGUGGUGGUGCACACAAAUAUGCUCUCGAAAAGCUCACCCCAAAUCGUUUACUACGUGUCUGUGGCGAACCACACAAUUGACGAGUUCAAAGCCUCAUUUUUUUUAGUCAUUGAUCAUUUUAUUGUAUUCAGAUUAAAUAUGCAUACGUAUGAACUAUUUCUGUUGUGAAUUUUGAAUCAGCACAAUUCAAGGCCACUUGCACUGGGGCGAUAGAAAAGCAAAUAUAAGCUGAACUAUGAAGUCGUGGAAAUGUAAAGCAAGUCGCUCGCGUGCUCCGCUGACUUUGAGAAGCGUGCGGAGGGGGGGGGGCUUUAUUGAGGCGUGUUUAAUACGAUUGACAGCCAAAGUGGCAUGUUUUGUCAUUUUUUGCUGUGUGACUCAUCACGAUCCAUCUGCUCAAUAUCAUGCACAAAUAAACAGCCUUGUUAAAAAGCUUGCCUCUUUGUUUGGGUCAGAUUUUCUGGUGCGCAGUAAGCCACAAAUUCCCUUUCAUCUUCUCAUAUUUGAAUGAUUAGUUACGCCCCCGAUGUUUCCCAGGAAACGUUGACGAAGUUGCUAAUCCAAAGCAUAUUUCUCGGGAAAAGUUGUCUGUGAAUUUCUUGUUCAAUGAAAUAAGCAUGAACGAGUUCAUUUAAGUUGUGCAAAUGCUUUUGAGAUACCUGAUGAUUUCAAACAAUGAAAUCGUCCACCACCUGUCCGUCCACCUGCUGCAGUUUGCAAAACUGCUCCCCUCCCGUCCCCUCACUCGUUUGGGAGUGGCAGCAGCGGUGGGUGAGAAAAUAAGAGAGAAGCGGCAUCCCUUCCAGGCGGCCGAUUAAAGACACGAGCUAAGCUAAUUGCUACCUGGCAGCAAGAGCGCACAGCGGCGGAUGAUCGUCAACACUGAUUUAUACAUGCUGCUGGGUCCACUAAAUGCAUCUUCCUGGUCGCGGUCGACUGCAGAUAGCGUCCUCUUUCAUUUCCUGCACGGGCUGCGCAUGAGGUGGGCGAGAUCCUGGUUCCUGAGUGGGCGUCGUUUGCGCACAUGCACGAAACAGAAGUGCCGAGGCAUAAAUUGAAUGCAUGAGACGCUCUCGUCAACCUCAUCGCGCACACGCACUCCAAGUCAACGCAACCACAAACCUCCUCUGUGGAAUUAAACAACAGGAAGUUGACUUCGUCCAACUUUGACACGCUCCAUGCUAUGACGCAAUGGAGCCUACGUUAGCUUGUCUGAGAUGGAACUUGAUAUUUUUGAAAAGCAAAAAUUGGACAGGAAAUCGACCCAAUGGGUUGCUUGGAUACAAAUACAGUGGUGCCUUGAGAUUCCAGUUUCAUCCCACAUUCAAAAUACUCAACUCAUCUUUUCGAUCAGGCCGAUACUGGUCUUUUUUUUCGAGCUAUUGGGUACUCAUGGGGGCCUCCGAUACCAGCAAUCGAUACUUAAGGCAAAGGAAAUUUGAUAUUGAAUAGCUGGCGCAAAAUGAAAUUGUAUCCAUCCAAAGUACUGUACUGUACUUACAAAAACAAACAUUUAAAGAACAUCCAGUUCUUUGUUGGCAGCAACUCUUGGGUGGCGAGUCUAGGGAUUAGCUAAUCAUCAUGACAACGUCGUUACAGUAAACUGCCCAUGUUUAAUUCCUUCCGUAGAGCAGCAGGCUUCCUCAUGGGGAGGAUUUUCCACCACCAAGAAGAUCCCGCGGUCAGAGAAUGGGCUGCCGAGGGCUAACUCGAACAAGGAGGAAGAAAUCUUUGGAGUGAGCGGAUCUCAGGGUGGGAUUGAGCGGUGGACGGAAAAAAAAAAAAAAAAAGAGAAUCAGGAAGAAAUGGGCAGCUUCCCAAACCGCUAGUAACAUCACGGCCAAAAUCUCAGUCGCGAGAAGACGAGGAAGAAAGUCAUCCAGUGGUCGCCACUGUGGGAAUUUGGUACACUGGCCUUUGCUGAGGGCUUGGGAAUCCCACAGUAGAGAGCCAACCUGCGGGCAUGGGAAAAACGGGGGCCGGUCACUCACCCCCUCCCACCCACCCACCCACCAGAGCAAACGUUUGAAAAAUAACAUUGGGCAGGAGCUGCAUGGUGCAAACAGGAUGCAAUUUAGCCGCGUUGCGCCUUUUCACGAAAAGCCCACGAGCGUGACGUCACUUUGCGCUGAGUCCUGCAAACAUUGAGUGACCGCUGACGGGCCGAGGAGAAAACUAAAGGCAAGAGAGGCAGCAUGCCAAGUGAUCUGGCGCACUUGAAAGGAGGACAGUGCCAUCUAGAGACUUCGGAAGAGCCGACCGGCGGCAAAGCGCACCGGCUUGGCACAGCGACUCAAUCACAAAUGGACAUUUUGGUGACAUUUCCACAAGCGUUUGGAGAAAGUGGAAAAGCAGCCGGGGUCAAGUUGACUGUCUCAACGGCAGCAGUUGUUCAUUCCGCAGCUAAUCACACCCACAAAAGGCACGCACGCUAAAGGGGCUCCAGGGUCAGUCGGAGAUCCGAGCCGAGGUCAAGAUAAGCGCUUGCGGGGAUUAGCUGGGCCUGCUUUACUGCAGAGCGCACGCGUUCAAAGGUGUAGUCGCUCAUUAGCAAGCCACGUCAGCUUUUUUUUUUUUUUUUUGCUCUCAGGCUUCCUUCCACUGAGAGCGGCUCAGCUUUUUUUCUACCAACUUGCAAUCCAGCAGGUUGCGAGCAGGUUGCGAGCAGGUGGCCUUUCAUUCACUUGAGUCUUUGCAGCUCAGAAUCUGCUUGAAAAAAAAAAAAAAAAAAAACGUUUCACGAGGUUUGGUGGCUGACAGCAGCUCUUUCAUUUCUUGCUCGGAUCAAAGUCGAGAGAAAGCGUGUUUUGAAAAGGAGUCUGUGAUAUUUAUUGGAGCCAUUUAUUAUUGUACUUCACUACAAAAAACAUCAAAUGAUGUGCUCUAUAAUAAUGUGCAGUGUACUAGUAAGUUCCUUGACAAUGGACUUUCUACAAUCUCAUGACUCAGAUCUGGUCACAUUUUCACUCUAGUGUUAAUGGACUCCAA